ACAGCCAUAUCACCCUGCAGCCCAAGACUGGUUGCCCACUGAAGCUAAGCAGGGUUGAGCCUGGUCAGUACUUGGAUGGGAGACCUCCUGGGAAAACUAGGUUGCUGUUGGAA
rnacentral:rRNA from 1 species